UACGUAGGGUGCAAGCGUUGUCCGGAUUUAUUGGGCGUAAAGAGCUCGUAGGCGGUUUGUCGCGUCGAAUGUGAAAUCCCGAGGCUUAACUUCGGGCUUGCAUUCGAUACGGGCAGACUAGAGUUCGGUAGGGGAGACUGGAAUUCCUGGUGUAGCGGUGAAAUGCGCAGAUAUCAGGAGGAACACCGGUGGCGAAGGCGGGUCUCUGGGCCGAUACUGACGCUGAGGAGCGAAAGCGUGGGGAGCGAACAGG
rnacentral:rRNA from 1 species